rnacentral:rRNA from 1 species
AGCGAACGCUGGCGGCAGGCCUAACACAUGCAAGUCGAACGAACCUUUCGGGGUUAGUGGCGGACGGGUGAGUAACACGUGGGAACGUGCCUUUAGGUUCGGAAUAACUCAGGGAAACUUGUGCUAAUACCGAAUGUGCCCUUCGGGGGAAAGAUUAAUCGCCUUUAGAGCGGCCCGCGUCUGAUUAGCUAGUUGGUUGAGGUAAUGGCUCACCAAGGCGACGAUCAGUAGCUGGUCUGAGAGGAUGAUCAGCCACAUUGGGACUGAGACACGGCCCAAACUCCUACGUGAGGCAGCAGUGGGGAAUCUUGCGCAAUGGGCGAAAGCCUGACGCAGCCAUGCCGCGUGAAUGAUGAAGGUCGUAGGAUUGUAAAAUUCUUUCAACGGGGACGAUAAUGACGGUACCCGGAGAAGAAGCCCCGGCUAACUUCGUG